GUACUUUGGGGAGGGGCUUUGUGGGGCGGCAGUUAAACAUCUGCGCCAUGAAACAUGUGUCUCCUGUUCUGGGGGACCUGAAGAAUUGAUGUGCUCAGAGUAACUGUCCAAUAUUGGACCUGUUGGAGCUGCUGGAAUUCUGUCUGGUGUCCUGCUUCUGUCUGGCCCUGCACCUUGCUCUCCUGUGGUCUGUGCAUAGCUUAGUUGUCUUUGGGGCUCUGUUUCCACAUCCAAGGUGUUGGGCCACAGUGGUUCACUGUCCCAACUUGCUCCUGUUCACAGGAUCUAAGGCAGUCCCAGAUUCCCAUCAGCUCUCCUGGGAUUGCACAAGCUCCUUCUCCUGGGGACAGGGACACAGCUGGGAGAGGAAAGGUGACAUUGACUGCCUGGGAGCAGGGAGGCACACCCAGCAGAGCCUCUGGGAAGCGACAAACUGUAUCUGCAGCAGGUUUCUUUGGUCAGACUGUUUCCUCCCAGACUGUGCAGAGGUGUCUGGUUCUUUGUCUUUAUGGAAAUGACAUGUGUGAUUGCGUGAGGCAGAGCAGGUCUGUGUGCCAGUAGAUUGCUUAGGAAAGGAAAAGGAUCGGAAAAGCACAC